rnacentral:lncRNA from 1 species
ACGAUCGUCUAAGUACCUUUAGCCUACAACGUCAUACUUGGAAGAUCCGGACUAAAUACCCUUAGGGCGAUAGUCUCGACAUACCACUUGCUGGUCCGGUUUCCAACUAAAAAUGGAGCCGGAGAAAUGCGUGGGAUCAACAGCUUGCCCGACGAUGCUUCCAAAUCUCUACUCAAAGCAAUGAAUCGAAGGACUCCCUAACGGUCGACAAGCUGGACCAACGGG